GUUCUGUUCCUCAGCACCACAUAUAUAGAAAAAGCCAGAAAUAGAGCUGUGGCUCAAGGGUAGAGUGCUAGCCUUGAGCACAAUAGCACAGGGACAGUGCCCAGGCCUUCAGUACAAGUUCCAAGAUUGGCAA